rnacentral:piRNA from 1 species
UGCACUUUGAAGAAAGACAAGUUAGUCAUA